GGGGUCUUCUAUUGACCAUUGAAGAUAAACUUUUGAAUAUAUGAAUCAGCUGUGUAUUAUUUGUUGUAGCUUCAAAUGCGAGACCUAUGGUUGCAGUCAUUUUUAUUGUAGUUAGUUUAUAUGAUACAUCGUCGUCACCGCAUGAGAUCUACUGCUGAGCCAUAUGAAGACCUGCUGCCUCAUCAUGGUGUUUGUAUAUGAAGAUCAACUGCAGUGCCUACACGCUGGACGGAGUAUUUAUAUGAUGUGAAGGUCAACUGUUCGGCAUCGUCGGUAUGAAAUGGCUAUGGCCUUCAAAGCUUCCUUGGUCACUGGACAGGGAAGAAAUUUUCUGCUCAAGCUAAAAAUUAGAUACAAGCUUGUUCAACUUGCACUAUAGUUCAUUUGAGUACUUACCUGUUAUUGAUCUCUAUUGAGUUGAAGCUAGGUUUCAAGUAUCUCCUAAGGUUUCGUAUAGGUGAAAACCAGUGAUUCUCUCUUUUUUUUUAGCACUACAAUCUGUGACGUUUCAUGCCCUUAGUUUGAGCUUUCUCCUUAGUGAGUUUAUUAAUUUUUCUUCUUUUCCAAAUCAAAAGAUGUUUUGACUUUCCAUAUUUUGCUAUGCAUUUAGUUAAAUCUACACUGUAGAUAAACAAAUGUUUGUGGAUAAGUAAAAAUGCCUUAUUUGGUCGUCAUGGUAAAUGGCUGCGGUGGACACAUGAGCAGUCUCUGGCAGCUGAUGUGUCAGUGAUCUUGCUGUUUCAUUGUUGGUAUAUAUUACUGUCGGAUUGUUACUAUUGAGGAGCCAUUUUUUGCAAAAAAAUUUUGGAGGCUUCACUACAUCCAUUAUCAAUAACUGGAUUUUGCUCUACGAAGGUACAUGUCCAUUAUCAAUAACUCGAUUUUUUUAAUUGUUCUUCGAUAGUCUUUGCAUUGUGAAUACCAAUAAUUGCUGCCAUUUAUAACUAAUACUGUUAACCAAGGCGCGUAGAAAAUUGUUUCAGGUGAUCUAAUCUUACAUAAUUUUGUUAUAAACAAAAUUUGAAAAAUUAUUUUAGAUUUUGAUCAGCGUUGAAACGUACACACGCCAUUAGGCCUGUCUGUCUCCUAACUGUGGAUCUUGUCUCAACACGGUGAGGUCCUCACAUGACUGUCCAUUACAGUCUUUGACGGAAGGUGGUUCGAUUCCACCCAGAUCCUUUAGUCUGUAUUUUGUGAUUCAACCCAUUUAAAUAAAUAUACGAGGUAUUAUUGAGAAAUUGAAUAGAACUGGCUCAAUUAGCUGCUGUAUAUAGGGGUGAUAAUGGGCUUUAAAUUUUACACUAAAAUUUAAGGAUCGAAUUAGGAUAGGAUCCUAUUUCUAUUCAUUUUGGAACUAAAAUUAAUUUAGGGCUCUAACAAAUUGUGAAGAAACAUUUGGACCAUUGUUGUCCCUCACAUUUAUAUGAUAAAAAGCUAAAAUUAUA
rnacentral:lncRNA from 1 species